GAUGAACGCUGGCGGCGUGCCUAAUACAUGCAAGUCGAGCGAACAGACGAGGAGCUUGCUCCUCUGACGUUAGCGGCGGACGGGUGAGUAACACGUGGAUAACCUACCUAUAAGACUGGGAUAACUUCGGGAAACCGGAGCUAAUACCGGAUAAUAUAUUGAACCGCAUGGUUCAAUAGUGAAAGACGGUUUUGCUGUCACUUAUAGAUGGAUCCGCGCCGCAUUAGCUAGUUGGUAAGGUAACGGCUUACCAAGGCAACGAUGCGUAGCCGACCUGAGAGGGUGAUCGGCCACACUGGAACUGAGACACGGUCCAGACUCCUACGAGAGGCAGCAGUAGGGAAUCUUCCGCAAUGGGCGAAAGCUUGACGGAGCAACGCCGCGUGAGUGAUGAAGGUCUUCGGAUCGUAAAACUCUGUUAUUAGGGAAGAACAAAUGUGUAAGUAACUAUGCACGUCUUGACGGUACCUAAUCAGAGAGCCACGGCUAACUACG
rnacentral:rRNA from 1 species